UACGUAGGCAGCGAGCGUUGUUCGGAGUUACUGGGCGUAAAGAGUGCGUAGGCGGUUUUCUAAGUUUGGUGUGAAAUCUCCCGGCUUAACUGGGAGGGUGCGCCGAAGACUGGAAGGCUUGAGUAUGGGAGAGGUAAGCGGAAGUUCCUGGUGUAGCGGUGAAAUGCGUAGAUAUCAGGAGGAACACCUGCGGUGUAGACGGCUUACUGGACCAUAACUGACGCUGAGGCACGAAAGCGUGGGUAGCAAACAGG
rnacentral:rRNA from 1 species